CCCGCGCGUGCCCCCGGCCGCCUGUGUGUCCCCCGCGUGUGCCCCCAGUUGCCUGUGUGUCCCCCGCGUGUGCCCCCGGCCGCCUGUGUGUCCCCCGCGUGUGCCCCCGGCCGCCUGUGUGUCCCCCGCGUGUGCCCCCAGUUGCCUGAGUGUCCCCCGCGUGUGCCCCCGGCCGCCUGUGUGUCCCCCGCGUGUGCCCCCAGUUGCCUGAGUGUCCCCCGCGUGUGCCCCCGGCCGCCUGUGUGUCCCCUGCGUGUGCCCCCGGCCGCCUGUGUGUCUGUCCUCCGCGCGUGCCCCCGGCCGCCUGAGUGUCCCCCGCGUCCCCAGGGAGGGACACAGCCCUCUGGGUCAGGCGCAGUGACCGUGGGUCCUGCUGCACACCUGGACGCCAGGGGACCGCAGCUCUUCAUCCUGCUCCUGGCUCGUUUAUUUGUAAGCUGCUUUAUCCAUUCGCCUGAGGUAGUGACAGUGUUACGGCGGGGUGGGGGCCGGCCCACGGGUGGAGCCCGAGCCUGCUUGCCACGCCAAAGCGCCGGCCCUGCUCCUGGGUCUCUGGUCAGAAGACAGCGCCAGCCAGCACUGCCCUGGGCACCAGGAACGGCCGGGGCGGCUGGACACCACCAGGGGGCGCCCCGGCCAAACAUCCAGACGCAAGCCCCCUGCGGCCCUAAAUCCUGCCCCAGACACACCGCGCCCCGCACAGGGGCCAAGGCCUCCCCCGGCGAGUGGACGUCUCUGCACACGGCAGGGCCCACGCACGGCUCCACGAUGGCCUCCGCGGACACGCGUGUGUGGAAACGUCCCCAGGUCUGCAGCAUACAGGAGGCGGGAAGCCUCCCAGCCCACAGCCCGGCCCGGAGCCAGGGUGUGCCGAGGUCCACGGGGGCGGGGGCGUCCCGCUCACCGGGAGGCUGUGGUCACCGCGUGGGCGGGGCUGCGCCUGUGGUGCGAGGCAGGCGUGGGCAGGCAGCGGCCACAUCUAUCCCCCACCCCUCGGGUUCCUGGCUGCAGGCUGUGCCCCCAUCCGUGCCUCACCCCAGCCCAGGCCAAUGUCCUAACCCCACCUGCAGUGACCCUGCUGGCCUUUGUCCCGCCUCUGCAGUGGCCACACCCCCUCCCCCCGAGCAGCUGGAGCCUCCCCUGGCGACGGGAACUCACCACGCACUCCUCACCCCUCCCCCGCUCUCCCUGCAAGGGUGGGGGCACUGGGGGGCAGACACCAGCCAAACCCAAACACCAGGAGCCUGCACCUGUCCCCCGACUCCGAGGCCAGAGACGCCUCAGAAAAACAAAACUGGGCCGCCGCCUGCAGUGCUGACGUCCCACCUGGCCGCGGGUUCGAGACCCAGCUGCUCCACUUCCGGUCCAGCUCCCUGCUAUGGCCGGGGGAAGCAGAGGAAGGCAGCCCAAGUCCCUGGGCCCCCGCACCCGCGUGGGAGACCCGGAGGACGCUCCUGGCUCCAGCCUGGCCCAGCGGAUGGAAGGCCUCUCUCUGUCUCUCUUUCAAAUGAACAGAAAAACAAUUCUUUAAAAACAGAGCCAAAACCAGACCCGCCCGGGCAGCCCUGGUGAGCCCGCCUGCCCACACGGCAGAGCCUGCCUCCCCUCUCCACGUCCCCCGCCUCUUGCCCAGGGGGGCUCUGAGCUCCGGGGCAGUGACCAGGCCGCUGCAGGUAUGGGCGUCACUGGCCUUGCUGUGCCCUCGGCGGCUGCUGGAGACGGGUGGGUGCAGGCAGCCCGUGCCAGCAGGAGGGGCCAGGCUGGGGCACCCAGGUGAGCAGAGCCGAGCGGGGGUGAGGCUUGGCAGUGGCCAGGCACUCCUGGACCCUGGCAGGGGCGCCCCCUGAAUGACAGCGUGACUGGUCCUGGGAGGGGGCUUCAGGGCCGCCACGGGGGUCUCUCCCCAGGGGCCCAUGCCCAGCCACGGGCCACCUGGCUGGAGACGUGGCCAGCGCUGCCUCCUCUGCCCCCAGGCUCCCAGGGCCCAGCUGCACCCAGGACAGCCGCCGAGCUGGGCAGGGACCCUGCUCCCAGGACACCCGACACAGCUCUGUCCUCAGCACAGCAGGCACCGCCCACAUCCCGUCCAGCUCCCCAUUGAUGGCCUGGGAAGGCAGUGGAGACGCCCCAGUGCCUGGGCCCCUGCACCCGAGUGGGGGGCUCAGGGCAGCAGCCGCACUAGCACCCGGGAAUUCCUGCCCCAGGCGGGAGACCGCGCAGAGCUCCGGGCUCCCGGCCAUGCCCUGGCCCAGCCCUGGCCGCUGCAGGCUUUGGGGACGGGAGAUUCUCUCAAAUGGACCGAAUAUUGUGGUACGUCCCACGCAGGGCGUUGCUUUUCGGUGAGAAGGUCCGAACGCAGACGCGGGUCCGGCCGCGCAGGCGAGCGCUCGCCACUCCCGGCCCACGGGCGAGAGGGACCAGGCCCCUUCGCGGCCCGCGGCGCCGCCUGCUGGCGAGGGCGCGCGCUGCAGCCGGGCGCGGGAUUCGGCUCGCGGCCAGGUCUCUCCCCCGCACGGGAGCCAGGUACCCGGGGUGGACCCGGGGGCCUAGGGCGGCCGCUUCCGCCCGACGUCCUUGCUCUCCAUGGCGAGAGGGGCCAAGCGGCAGCCCCGGUGCUCCGGGCCUCUCGCCCCGCGGCCCCCGAGCUGCUCCGGGGGUCGCCUGGUUUCCAGAAGUCUCUCGGGAAAGGAGGGUCCACGACACGUGUCCACCUGCAGACUCACGCACGGGGAAGACGCCCAGGAGAGCGCUUCAGGCGGCAGCCGCACGCCCCUACGCCUGGAGCCCUGGAUGCCGGCCGCGACCCCAAAGAGCCCAUCUCACGGCUGCACGCCCGGCGAGGCAGCCCGGAAACCCUGCUGGUGGACCCUGCCCGCCCGACCCAAGCCCACGCCUCGCACACACCUGGGCCAGAGCGGAGGGCAGUCCACCGCCCCGCCCCGCCUCCACACCGCCGGCCCCGCCCCCUCCAGGCUUGGUUUCCGGGCAGAGUUGUGGAAGGGGCGAGAACGCGCGCAAGGCUUGGAACAGGGGCCAAACCGGGGUUCCGGACGUCCACCAGGCUACCUGGCCUCGCACCGCGUUCGCACUCUACGUACUUCACGCGUGAGGCCCGCGGCCCCAGACCGCAGCGCCGGGGCUCGAAGUGCCCACGUGAGUCUCGUGACCAGUGCCCGACCCAACUAUGGCCCCCCGGACCCCGCUGCCCGCCCCCAAGAUGGCGCCUCGGCGCGCUGACGUCACGAGGCGGGUCCUCGGGCCGCCCCGCCCUCCGCCAGCCUCCCGGAAGCGACGCCCGAGGUGGACUGACGCGGAGGGGCGUGGGUGCGUCCCCGAGCCUGGUCAAUCCUGGGGACCGCGCCUCGGGCCCCGCUAACUGCAGGCCGCGGUGGCUCCCGAGCGCGGGCCCCGCACCCACGCGGGAGACCUGGUGGAGCUCCGGGCUGCAGCCCGGCCCGGCCGUCGCAGGCACCUGGCGGAGACCCGCGCGCGGCCUCCCCGCGCUCCGCGAGCCCGAGUGACCGAAAAUCCUUCCCGGCCGGCUCGUCCCCGUUCACCGGCGAAACGCAGCCCCUGUGUUUGCUCUGCGGGCUCGCUCAGUGCCACCACGUGGGAACGGGGACCCGCGAGCACCGCCCGCCAGGGGCCGGCUCCCUCCACCGCGGUCAGCCCGGCGUAGGCAGCAGGGACUUCCCGUCCACACCCCCAGGGGCCCUGGAGAGGCCAUGGUCCGGGCUCGGUUUCGGACAGAGCCCAGGCCUGUGUGCUUUCCAAAGGCCGGGCUGGGGGCGUUGGACCCCAGGCCAGGGCAGCCGUUUCUAGGCCAGAGGCCCCGUUAGCGACCUGACUACUCGCAGCCUCAGCGGUCAGCCAGAGCGGGUUCUCUGCUGCGCCAGGCACGGACAGUACACCCCCCAGGCCUCCCUCUGGGCCUGGGUGUGUUGGGGGUCCAGCCCAGCCUGGCUGGGAAGGUGAGGAGAGGCCCCCCACUGUGGACACGUGGUCUCAGCCCUUGGCACAGGAGCACGCUGUGGCCGUGACUAUGAGCCAUGCCACCGGGGCAGAGGGACUGGGCGCCACCCUGGAGCUGGUGCGGCCACUGCACGGACACCCCCAGCUGGGGGUUCCCACCAGCCCGGGGCCGGGUUCACCCACGGCUGCAUCACAGCCUAAACGUCCAGAGGUCCCAGGGCCAACCUCCCCACACCAUGUCCUGGCCACCUGGGGAGGGGGCAGCGCGCUGGACAGUCUGCGCACUGCCCAGGUGUCCCAUGGACCCACCCAGGAAACAGAUGCUGCUGCCACCCUCGGACCAGAGGCACCUGCACGUCCCACCCCUCAGCUGCUCUCUGCCCAGGGCAGUGUCCACCCCCACCCCACCGGAGGGGCUGCCAUCUGCCUGAGGUCGCUUUAAGCUCCCCACCUCCUAAAUCCAUAACAAAAAUAAUCCCUGCGCUCCCUGAUGUGCCCCAGUUCCAGAGCACGUCCUGAUCCAUCAGGCCCCGGGAGGCAAGGUGACCCCGUUCCACAGCCUCGCUGCAGGGGACGGGGGCUCGAGGGCCACCCCUGCAGGGUUCUGGGCUGAGCCCCAGGUGGGCUGCACCCGGGAGCUUGGCACUGCCCCCUGAGGCCCCUGUUGCUGUCUGGGGCCCCCAGCCAGGAUACAGCCUCGCAUACGCAUCCCCGAGGGCCCCGAGGGCCCCGUGGGCAGGAGGGGAGGAGCGUGGGAGAGGGGGCCUGUCCACAGACCAGCCUGGACCCUCAGCUCUGGGUGGGCGCUGACACGUGGAGCCCCAGAGCCCCCGAGGCUUCCGGCCACAGCUCGCUCACACCGACGGGGCAGACCCAGCAGCUUGCGCACCUCCCGGCACAGGUACCUGUGCGUGGGGCAGCUGCCCAGCUCCCCAGCCCCAGCCCAGCCCCGGAUCGGAGCAGGAGGCCGGGACAGGGAGCCACACACCCAGCAAGGCCUCCUGGCCCAAGAUGCCCGUCACUGGACAUCACAGACCUCCCACAUGCUGUCAGCUGCAGAGGCCACAGAGACAGAUCCUGACCCCGUCCCUGCUCUCCGAGGUGGCCAAGGAGGCACUCGAUGCCACCCAGGAAGCCCCUCACCCGGCUGAGACCGGGCCCCACUGGGGAUCCCUGGGCCGCGUGUCCCAUCAGAGGCUGGCAGUGUGCCCGGCCGAGCCGCGGGGCGGUGCCAGGGCCCCAGGUGGCGGGAGUGGGCGGGGCACCUGCCAGGGCUCUGCCUGCCUGGCCAGCCAGUCGGUGCACACACUCAGCUGCCGCUGCCCCCUUGCCGCACCGGCUCAUCGUCUGCUCUCAUUGUCACUCCAAGGUAAGGUGCUGAGAAGGAAGUGGGGACUGGGGGACCCCCCAUUUACCCAGCCCAGUCCACAGGGCGCAGGGGAGCAGCUGCCCUGUGUGCAGGAGCUGAUGGGGCCCCGUGCCCGCCGCGCCGUGUGCGUCCGCAGGGCGCCUGGAGGGCUCCACCGUGUGCAUUGGCAGAGGGGCCUGGAGGGCUCCGGCAGCAGCGGCUGCUCGCAGGCAGGGCUGGGGCUGCAGACGAGGCCUCCCACCCUCGCGGCUGUCCAGACUAGAUGGCUGUCCAGAGUGCCGAAACGCGAGUCUGCACGUCCCCCGUGUGCUGCCCAUCACCCCCCGGGAACCUGCCCCUCUCCCCAAGCCGCUCACCCCGCUGACCCCUGGGGCGGCUCCCACGUGACCAGAUCCUGGGCCCUCCCCCGAGAACCUUGCAGGAGAGGGGCCCCUUCCCAGCCCGGGAUGCCCCCCCAAUGCGGUGCCAGCGCCUGCAGCCCCUGGCCACCUCCCCAGAGUACAGAACACCGGUCCCCCACCUCCCGGGGGGACUGCAGCACGGGUCCCCCUGGGCCCGGCAGCCCCGCCCUGCCACUUGACCCCGUUGUGCUCAGGUGUCCCGGGAGACACCGGCACCGGGGCCACCCCAGCCCAGGUCCUGGACUGCCCAGUGCCCCGGUCCUCAGCGGCACAGCCCAGCCACCCCACCCCAUGCAAAUUGGAGCCAAAUCCUCCUGGCCCCGGGAUCCACCAGCCCAGGGUGGGGGCGGGGCUCUGCCCAGAUGCAAAUCAGAGACCGUCCGCUGGCCCCCACCUCAACCGGGGUGGGAAGUGGACCCCGACUGGGGAGGGCUCAGGGAGCUCCCAGCGGCCUCAGCACCCCCGCCCCCCCCAUCCGGAGGCAGGAGGAUGGAAAGUUCGUGUGCUGAUUAGCCCCGCGGGCAGGGGCGCCCCGGGGGACUCCAGGCAUCUGCCUGCGGCUCCCCUCGGCUGUGGGCAGGGGCGGCCUGGCCCCCAGGCUCCGCUGUCCUUUUGUGCUGGGCACGCACAGGCGGGAGGGGCACCUCCAGCAGCCCCGGCUCUGUUGCCUCCCCGCGCCCCCAGCUCCAGGCUGGCCGCCGCGGAAGCCCCCGACGCCAUGGAGGAGUGGGACGUGCCCCAGAUGCAGAAGGAGGUGGAGAGCCUCAGGCACCAGCUGGCCUUCAAGCGGGAGGCGUCCUCCAAGACCAUCCCCGAGCUCCUCAAGUGGAUCG